rnacentral:rRNA from 1 species
UACGUAGGCAGCAAGCGUUGUUCGGAGUUACUGGGCGUAAAGGGUGUGUAGGCGGUUCUUUAAGUUUGGUGUGAAAUCUCCCGGCUCAACCGGGAGGGUGCGCCGAAUACUGAGGGACUAGAGUGCGGGAGAGGAAAGUGGAAUUCCUGGUGUAGCGGUGAAAUGCGUAGAUAUCAGGAGGAACACCGGUGGUGUAGACGGCUUUCUGGACCAUUGCUGACGCUGAGACACGAAAGCGUGGGUAGCAAACAGG